CUACUGGGGUUUCUAAUCCUGUUCGCUCCCUACGCUCUCGUCCCUCAGCGUCAGUAAUAUCUUAGUAACCUGCCUUCGCUAUUGGUGUUCUAAGUAAUAUCUAUGCAUUUCACCGCUACACUACUUAUUCCAGCUACUUCAAAUAUACUCAAGACUAUCAGUAUCAAUGGCAGUUUCAUAGUUGAGCUAUGAGAUUUCACCACUGACUUAAUAACCCGCCUACGGACCCUUUAAACCCAAUAAGUCCGGAUAACGCUUGCACCCUCCGUAUUACCGCGGCUGCUGGCAC
rnacentral:rRNA from 1 species